GAGAAGUACCAGAGUAAUGCGUUUUCUCAGCACAGGUUUAAAAAUAAAAUAUAAAUUAAAAUGGGAGUAUUGAUGAUAUGCUAUGCUUUUAGUUGUAGGAACUGACUACAAGAUAUUCCCCACAGAUAUUCUGAGACACAACACUGGAACAGUCAGCA